rnacentral:rRNA from 1 species
GAUGAACGCUGGCGGCGUGCCUAAUACAUGCAAGUCGAGCGAAGCGUGCACGGGUGAGAAACACGUGUCUAACCUCCUCUACGACUGGGAUAACUUCGUGAAACCGUAGCUCACCCCGCUACUUAUCGUUUGAUCCGCGCUGCAUUAGCUAGUUGGUAAGGUAACGGCUGAACAAGGCAACGAUGCAUAGCCGACCUGAGAGGGUGAUCGGCCACACUGGAACUGAGACACGGUCCAGACUCCUACGGUAGGCAGCAGUAGGGAAUCUUCCGCAAUGGGCGAAAGCCUGACGGAGCAACGCCGCGUGAGUGAUGAAGGUCUUCGGAUCGUAAAACACUGUUAUCAGGGAAGCGGUACCUAAACAGAAAGCCACGGCUAACUACGUGCCAGCAGCCGCGGUAAUAC